CCACCAGGUCUAGCAUUGGGAU
rnacentral:miRNA from 1 species